GCUGGUUAUUUGCCAAGUGAUUUGGGAAACCAGAAGGCUGGGGCAGCUGGGGGAGAAAAGAAAAUAAACCAGGAGGCUGUCACCGCUGCCACAGGUGCAGGCUGUUAUCCUUGCCAUCUGCAGCAGCCCCUCCAAGCUGUGGAGAUCAGGUCAUCGGGAAUGCCCAUUUAUGGCAAUGGAAGAAAGAAAAAGGGGUCUCCUCCCAUCCUUACCACUGCAUUCUCCCACCAACACUGCUCCUGUUCCACUUCCACAACUUAAUUGUUGACAAUUUAACAGUGGGUUUCUGGAAACAGUGCUGCCUUCGUGAUGGUCUAACUACCAGAGUUAUUCCAAUAGCAGGAAUUUCAAGCCACGUAAGGGGAGCCAUGUCAGGCUGCCAGAUGGUGGGGAAGACAGGUGUGGGUGAGCUGGCUUCAGACUAAAGGAAGAGGGGAUCAAGUGUUGAAAUCACAUUUGAGAAAAGGAGUCAAGCGAACCUCAUCACCCAUUAUGGAGCCCUGUUAUAUCCUUUAGUGCUAUUUGGACUUGGAUUGAACCUGUGACAAAUCCUUUGCUUAUGCUUCUUCCAUCCCUGCUUCCAUGUUAUAUCCUUUCCCCUUCUAAAAUGGUAAUAAUGAGAAAUAACUAUUACUAAUUACCCUAGAACAUAAAUUUCAUUUAAGAUGUCACAAUCAGAAUAUCAUCCUCAGUUUUUCAGAGCUGCAAAUUACCCAUGGUUAUAUGCAGGUAGUACUAAAUGGACAGAUCUGGGAUCAAGCUCAGGGCUUUGUGACUUUAAAAUUCUUGUUCUGCUACCUUCCAAGUGGCCUAGGGUGAUUUGCCCUAAACGGUUCACCUCUGUAUGAUGAUGCAUCCAUGCAGUGGGGCUUAUAGAAAGUGAAUGUGGAGCCUCAGAGCCUUAAUCUUGAAGCGGGCUCUCUAGAAGGAAGCUUGCAGAAGGAGUGGGGACUCAAUGGGAUGCUGUUUUCUCAUUGUGUUUCAGUGAUGACUGAAAAUCUGUUGCCAACAACUAUCUGGAAACAAUGUUUUGACGAUCCACCACCCCACCCCUCCAAACCACUUUCUUGCACAUACUCCAGAAUAAUAGACAGAAGAAUUUAAUACAUGUGAUGCUUUGCCUUCCAUUUACACUAUCAUAAAUUACAAAGUAUUGUUCACUUCACAAAAUAAAACCAUUUCCAGAUAAUUUUUUGACAGUAUCAAGAAGUACAUAAACUACAACAAACAAAGCUGUACAGUUGGGAGGAGGGAUAAUAGCAGGGAAGAGGUCAAACCAUUCUGACCUCCGUGUGCCAAUGGAGUCCAUCUGCAUAGCCCUUGGGACUGUUCAGGUCAACAGUCACACGGUGAUGCUCCACGUAACACAGUCAUUCUCUUCUGCUCACUCCAAAGCAUGAUUGGUGAGUUUACACAAAUCAUCUCAAUCAAAGGAAAAGACAUUGUGGUUGGAUUUUUUAAAAAUCUAGAUUUACAGUUUUUGAUGUUUUAAAUAUUUCACCUAUGUUACAAAAUAUAGAAAUCUUGGUGUGAAAGGCUCAUGCUAAGAUAAAUAUAACCAAGAGAAUGGAACUAUAGUAAUAAAAUCAUAUUGAAUUAUCCACACAGAGCUACUUUUGUCAAGGAGGAACAAAUAUUUGGUAAAAACCAACCUUAUUCUCACUUUAAAAAAUAGGUUUCUAGAACAAAAAUGAAAAACAUUGACAAUUCUGCAGAUUCGCUUUUCACCAAUACAGAAAUGUGGCAAAAAUACAAUUUGAUAUUAACAGAUGAAUUCAGAGGGCUUGGCCGGGAAGAAAAGAGGGAAAGUGCUAACUUUUUACACAGACCAGAUACAUCCAGUGUUCUCAAAUAAUUUCAGGUACAAUGACCGCAUUCUGUAUCUUCUGGGAUACACACUCAUGAUACGAAAAGACUAUGAGCAAUUCCAAAGCAUACUUUGGGAAUUCACAAAAUUUGUAUGAAAAGAAAAUUGGUGGACAUUUCAGACCAUCCUACAAUUGCUAUAAAUAUAUACCAUACAAUAGAAGAAUGCCAGUGCUUAAGAGCAAAAACUGUUAAAAGCAGGAACACAAGGGGCAGGUGAAAUUUCAUUGAAAAGCACUGAGGAGGACAGAGGUAUGUCGAGAUAAUACUGCAUUCGUGGUCAGCUUUUUCAGGGUGUCACAGCAAAAUGAGGGACAAGGUACACAGGGUAAUAACCAAUGCACUGCAUUGAGUUCUAUUUGCUAAAAAUAACAUUCUUGU